GAUGAACGCUGGCGGCGUGCCUAACACAUGCAAGUCGAGCGAACAGACGAGGAGCUUGCUCCUCUGACGUUAGCGGCGGACGUGUGAGUAACACGUGUAUAACCUACCUAUAAGACUGGUAUAACUUCGGGAAACCGGCGCUUAUACCGGAGAAUAUAUUGCACCGCAUGGUUCAAUAGUGAAAGACGGCUUUGCUGUCACGUAUAGAUGGAUCUCGGCCGAAUUAGAUAGUUGGUAAGGUCACGGCUUACCAAGGCUACGAUGCGUAGCCGAGGUGAGAGGGUGAUCGGCCACACUGGAACGGGACCACGCACCAUGCUCCUGCGGGAGGCAGCAGUAGGGAAUCUGACGCAAUAGGCGAAAGCCUGACGGAGCAAGGCGACGUGAGUGAUGAAGGUCUUCGGAGCGUGAAGCUCUGUUAUUAGGGAAGAACAGAUGUGUAAGUAGAUGAACACGUCUUGACGGUAACUAAUCAGAAAGCCACGGCUAACUACGUG
rnacentral:rRNA from 1 species